rnacentral:misc_RNA from 1 species
AAGUCGUAACAAGGUUUCCGUAGGUGAACCGCCCUAACAAAAGCAAUCCUUGGAACAAUUUGAUUCAAGGACCUCUCUUGUCAGCCGGGGAUUCGAUGCGGUCGUCGCAACUUAGGCUUGGCUUCUGCGGGGCAGUUAGUGGGUGAAAAAAAGUGCCACUGAUUGCUUAAGCAGAUAACCGAUUAAAACUCGGAUCAUCGAGUGCCCACACGGCCGAUGAACAAGUCUCUGGCGCAAGCCCCCAAAUUAACUACCUCUUAGCGGCCGCCUCGUGUCGCUGUCGUGAAAGCUGAACAACUGUUAACAAUGGAUAUCUUGGUUCUC